AUGAACGCUGGCGGCGUGCCUAAUCCAUGCAAGUCGCGCGAACAGACGAGGAGCUUGCUCCUCUGACGUUAGCGGCGGACGGGUUAGUAACACGUGGAUAACCUACCUAUAAGACUGGGAUAACUUCGGGAAACCGGAGCUAAUACCGGAUAAUAUAUUGAACCGCAUGGUUCAAUAGUGAAAGACGGUUUUGCUGUCACUUAUAGAUGGAUCCGCGCCGCAUUAGCUAGUUGGUAAGGUAACGGCUUACCAAGGCAACGAUGCGUAGCCGACCUGAGAGGGUGAUCGGCCACACUGGAACUGAGACACGGUCCAGACUCCUACGGGAGGCAGCAGUAGGGAAUCUUCCGCAAUGGGCGAAAGCCUGACGGAGCAACGCCGCGUGAGUGAUGAAGGUCUUCGGAUCGUAAAACUCUGUUAUUAGGGAAGAACAAAUGUGUAAGUAACUAUGCACGUCUUGACGGUACCUAAUCAGAAAGCCACGGCUAACUACGUG
rnacentral:rRNA from 1 species